AUUGAACGCUGGCGGCAGGCCUAACACAUGCAAGUCGAACGAGUGGCGGACGGGUGAGUAAUGUCUGGGAAACUGCCCGAUGGAGGGGGAUAACUACUGGAAACGGUAGCUAAUACCGCAUACCAUCGGAUGUGCCCAGAUGGGAUUAGCUUGUAGGUGAGGUAACGGCUCACCUAGGCGACGAUCCCUAGCUGGUCUGAGAGGAUGACCCGCAAAGCUGGAACGGAGACACGGUCCAGACUCCUACGGGAGGCAGAAGUGGGGAAUAGUGACAAAUGGGAGCAAGCGUGAUGCAGCCAGGGCGCGGGUAUGAAGAAGGCCUUCGGGUGUUAAAGUACUUUCAGCGGGGAGGCGUUACCCGCAGAAGAAGCACCGGCUAACUCCGUGCCAGCAGCCGCGGUAAUUC
rnacentral:rRNA from 1 species